GAUGAACGCUGGCGGCGUGCCUAAUACAUGCAAGUCGAGCGAACAGACGAGGAGCUUGCUCCUCUGACGUUAGCGGCGGACGGGUGAGUAACACGUGGAUAACCUACCUAUAAGACUGGGAUAACUUCGGGAAACCGGAGCUAAUACCGGAUAAUAUAUUGAACCGCAUGGUUCAAUAGUGAAAGACGGUUUUGCUGUCACUUCUAGAUGGAUCCGCGCCGCAUUAGCUAGUUGGUAAGGUAACGGCUUACCAAGGCAACGAUGCGUAGCCGACCUGAGAGGGUGAUCGGCCACACUGGAACUGAGACACGGUCCAGACGCCUACGGGAGGCAGCAGUAGGGAAUCGUCCGCAAUGGGCGAAAGCCUGACGGAGCAACGCCGCGUGAGUGAUGAAGGUCUUCGGAUCGUAAAACUCUGUUAUUAGGGAAGAACAAAUGUGUAAGUAACCAUGCACGUCUUGACGGUACCUAAUCAGAAAGCCACGGCUAACUACGUG
rnacentral:rRNA from 1 species